GCGGCAUCAGCUCCUUGACCACCUCCUCGUCGUAGCGCCCGAUGAGCCGCUCGAACUCGCGGUAGAUGGAGCCGGCCAGGCCGGACACCCGCUCCGACAUCACGGCCCCGGAGCCACCGGGCUCCUCCUGGCGCGGUGCGGAGACAGUUGGCCCCCGUUUCACGGACAAAGAAACCAGGCCCCGAAAAGUUGUGGUUCACUCAAGGUCAAGAAUCAGGAAAGAGGCCGAGUCGGGACUCAGACCAGUUGUGACGGAGAAUUCCGGGCUCAGAGAAAAAGGAACAACAGUGGCGGGGUGGGGGGCAACAACCAUAACCAGGAGAUGGUCUGAGUGCUUUUUAAGGUGGUCUGCAGUGGGCUACAGCUGUUUUGAGAUGGGAGGGAGGAAUAAGGAUAACCUAAAACAGGAAGUACAAAGCAUUCUGGAGAAGGGUAGGACUGUAACGCCACAUCCUGCACUUUCCCAAACAUGGAAUUUCUUGCUGCUCCCGGCCAGCUCUGCGGAGGCAAUCGCCAGGCUCCAGCCACCUUCCUCUCCGCUGGUCUGGAAGAGGAGUGGAGGAGGGAAAGGGGUGGAGUCACUGGGGUGAAUAAGUCCCGUGGUGUGUGAGGUCUCCUCCGCCCUGGGACAGCGUCACGUGUGGGGAAUGACACAACACCCAAGCCUGCAGCGGGCUGAGUCAAGGAUAACUUCUCCGUGUUCUCAUCUAGCGUCCAAGUGGGUCGGAAUACGUUCUCAAAGCCCCUUCUCUUCGCCUCAGUGACUCACCUAACAGGAGGAGGGAAGUCAGGAUUGAGAUAAACAAGGAUUUAGGAGGGGAAAUCUGCCACUUCCCCAGAUCAUAAAUACCCUCAACUUGGUGUUUUCAAGUUCCUCUCACCAAGCAUGAAUUAGUCCCCCAAAGUCUCCCACUUUUUUUUUUAACUUAAGAUUGAUUUAUUUAUUUGAAAAGCAGAGUUACACAGAGAGAGGGAGAGACAGAGAUCUUCAUCCGCUGGUUCACUAACCAAGUGGCCUCCACUGCUGAGGCCAAGCUAGGCUGAAGCAGAAGCCAAGAACUCCAUCAGGGUCUCCGACGUGGGUGGCGGGGCCCAAGUAUUUGGGCCAUCUUCCACUGCUUUCCCAAGCACAUUAGCAGGGACUUGAUUCCAAAGUGGAGCACCCAGGACUCCAGCCUAUACACUCAAAUGGGAUGCUAGCUUCUCAUAUAAGUGUGGCUUAACCCGCUGUGCCACAACGCUGGCCCCAAGUCUGCUCUUGACCCACCUGAAGACCAAUGAAAACAGUAUGAAGGUUGGGCCACAGUCAAUUUAUAGAGUCAGAAGAAAAAACAAAACAAAAUGCUAAGUCUUACCUCAAAUGUACUGAAUUUGUGUUCUGUGCUGUCUUGUUUUUUCACCCUCACCCCACAUCCACCCUUAUAUUGUUUGGGGAUGUCUGGGUUAUAGAAGUGCAGACUACUUGGUUGGGUGUGAGCCCUAAAUGUUCUUUCUCUUCUUAACAUCUGAAAAUCAGGAAAUGUCUUACUCUGAUUUCUUUUUUUGCUUUCUUCUCUCUUCUGGAGGGAUGUACCAAGGCAAUCUAUAUUAAUGUGAUUCUAUUUUUCUGGGAGUCAGAUGAGCAGCAAAGCUUAGAGAACUCUCUAUUUUGCCUUUCCACAACAUUACUACACACAUCAGAAAAUUUAGGAGAAAAUGCCAGUUUUCAGGUACAAGAUUAUAAUUAUGUCUUUGUAUAAGAUUUUUUAAGUUAUAAGCUCAAAAAUACAUGAGAUAUAUAUAUAUUUAUGUUGAUUUUAAACUUCUGGUAACUAACAGAGUUCACAUUUAAAUUUUUUUAAAGAUUUAUCCAUGUAUUUGAAAGAGUCGCAGAAAGGAGAGACAGACAGAGAUCUUGCAUCUGCUGGUUCACUCCCCGAAUGGCCACAAUGGCCAGAGCUGGGCUGAUCUGAAGCCAGGAGCCAGGAGCUUCUUCCAGGUCUCCCAUGUAGGUGCAGGGACCCAAGCACUUGGGUCAUCUUCUACUGCUUUCCCAGGCACAUGAGCAGAGAGCUGGAUCAGAAGUGGAGCAGCCCAGACUCAAAUCAGUGCCAAUAUGGGCUACUGUUGCUGCAGACGGCGGCUUAACCCACUAAGACACAGUGCUGGCCCCACAUUUAAAUGUUUAAAAUGAAAUUCACCUAAAUAGCUAUAAACUGGUGAAUUAUAUGUAUACAAUGGACUGUUACUCAGCAAUAAAAAGUGCAUCCCCCAACAGGGAUGAAUCUUUGAAACAUGCUAAGUGAAAGAAGCCAGCCACCAAGGACCACAUACAAUAUGAGUCUAUUUGUAUGAAAGGUCCAGAAUAGCCAAAUCUAUGGUUUCCUAGGGCUAGGAAGCAAUGAGAUAGUGGGAUAAGGGAAAAGGAAGAUGACAGCUCAUGAGUUUAGGCUUUUCCUUUUUUUAAGUCAGAAUUACACACAGAGAGAAGGAGACCCAGAGAGAAAAAGUCUUCCAUCCAUUGGUUCACUCCCCAGUUGGCUGCCAUGACCAGAGCUUUGUGGUGAUCUGAAGCCAGGAGCCAGGAACUUCUUUCAGGUCUCCGAGGUGGGUGCAGGGGCCCAAGGACUUGGGCCAUCUUCCACUGCUUUCCCAAGCCAUAGCAGAGAGCUGGAUGAGAAGUGAAGCAGCCGGGACUUGAACUGGUGCCCAUACGAGAUGCCGACACUGCAGGUGGCAGCCUUACCUGCUACACCACAGUGCUGACCCCAACUUUAGGCUUUCUGUCUGAGGUAAUGAAAAUGUUCUCGAGCCGGCGCCGCGGCUCACUAGGCUAAUCCUCCGCCUUGCGGCGCCGGCACACCGGGUUCUAGUCCCGGUCAGGGCGCCGGAUUCUGUCCCGGUUGCCCCUCUUCCAGGUCAGCUCUCUGCUGUGGCCCGGGAGUGCAGUGGAGGAUGGCCCAGGUGCUUGGGCCCUGCACCCCAUGGGAGACCAGGAGAAGUACCUGGCUCCUGCCAUCGGAUCAGCGUGGUGCGCCGGCCACGGCGGCCAUUGGAGGGUGAACCAACGGCAAAGGAAGACCUUUCUCUCUGUCUCUCUCUCUCACUGUCCACUCUGCCUGUCAAAAAAAAAAAAAAAAUGUUCUCAACUCAAUUGUGGUGUUAAAUACAACUCUGUAAAUAUACUAAAAGGCACUGAAUUUUACACUUUUAAAAUAUUUUUCUUUUGUUUUGAAAGGCAGAGAGACAAAGAUCUUUCAUCUACUGCUUCACUCCCCAAAUUCCUACAACUGGGGUUGGGCCAGGCAGCAGCGAAGAGCUUGUAACUCAGUCCAGGUCUUCCAUGUAGGGUGCAGGGAUCCAAGUACUUAAGCCAUCUUCUGCCGCCUCCCAGGGUGUACAUUAACAGAAGGCAGAAUGGGAAGAUAAGGAGCCUGGACUCCUCAAGCACUCCAGAUGGAUGUGAGGAUUCCAAAGCAGUGUCUUGACCACUGUGCCAAAUGCCUGCCUUGAAUUUUACACUUUAAAUGAGUGAAUUGUAUGGUAUAUGAAUUACAUUUCAAUAUAGCUAUUAAAAUAAAUGAGGGGCCGUGAUUGGCUUAGUGGUUAAGGUGUCAGUUAAGAUGCCUGUGUUCCUAUUUUUUUAAGAUUUAUUGUUUAGUUUACAAUAGACUGACAGGGAGAAACAGAUAUCUUCUAUCUGCUGGUUCACUCCUUGAAUGCUCACAAUACCUGGGGCUAGGCUAGGCCAAUGCCAGGUGCCAGGAACUCCAUCUGGGUCUCCCACAUGGGUGGCAGGGCCCCAGCACUUUAGGAGGCAGGUAAAUCAGAAGUAUGGAGUAGCUGGGACUCAAACCAGGCUCUGUGUUGAGAUGCAGGUGCCAUGAUGUGCCCUGUGUGUCCCACACUGGAGUGCCUGGCUUCAAUUCCUAGCUGUAGCUCCAGAUUUCAGAUUCCAGCUGAUACACACCCUAGGAGGCAGUAGGUGAUGGCUCAAGUGAUUGGAUCCCUGCCACUCAGGUGGGAGACCUAGAUUGAGUUUCAGGCUCAUGGUUCCAGCUCUAACCCAGCUGGGACUGUUGCAGGCAUUUGGGGAGUAAACUAGUGGAUGGGAGCUCUCUGUCUCUUUCUCUGCCUCUCAAAUAAAUGAAUAAUGAAAAAUAAAUCAAUAAUGAAAUAAUAUUCAUGGCUAUAUAACCAUGAAUCACUUAUUAAUGGAGGUAGAUUGUGAUGAAUGUGGCACCAGGUGACGUUACUGUUUUGUGAACAUCAUAAAGUACUUACACAAACCUAGAUGAUAUGGGUCAGCCACCCAACCUGGCCUCUUGAUGCAAUCAAGGGACUCGGUAAACAUGUGGUGUAUGAGGCUGCUUCUGCUGUAAUAUUACGUACUAUUUUACGGUGAUCUUGUUUUAUAAAUAGAAGUAGUAUGUGCCAAAAUAAUCAUUACAAGCAUAGCAUAGUAAAUACAUAAACCAAGAACACUCAACUACUAUCACUGUCAAUGUUAUAUACUGUACAUAAUGGUAUGUGCUACACUUUAGAACAACUGGCAGCCAAGUAGGUUUGUUUGCUUGCAGCAGCAUCACCACAAACACACAAGUAAUGCGUUGCUUUAUGACUGCGAUGGCUCUGACGUCAGCAGGUGAUAGGAAUUUUUCAGCUCUACUGUAAUUUGUUGGGACCACCAUUGUAUAUGUGGUGCCCUGAUGACUAAAAUGUUAUGAAGUGCGUGACUGUAGCUGACCUGAUGGAGCAGAUAAGUCAAUGUGACAGAAUGGAAAGAAAAUGGUUUUGAAACCAGGAAAGUUGUAUUCUAAUAUGGUCUGGUUAUUUUGUACAACUUAGGUCAGCAAAAAAGACCAAAUAGUUAUUGACUACCUACUGGGUGCCACUAAGUGUGAUUAAGACUGUGAACCUCAACUCUAUGAACAAUGAAGGGGUUUGUUAGAGAACCUGUAAAGGCUUCUUGAAAUCCUGAAAUCCUGUGAUUCUUGUUUGUGGGUGGGAGUGACAGACAGGAAACAGGGCCUUGAAGCUGAGUCCCAUUAGUCAGCUCCUAAGUAUGUUGGCAGUGAUAUUACCUCCAUGCACCCACCUCAAACCCCGAAGGGCUGAGAUUUUUAUUAAAGACUAACAGUCACUAAGGAAAAACAGGUCACUUUUCCACUUUAGAGUGUUUACUCGUGAUUCCUAAAGGGAAGGAAAUUCCAAUUCAAGAGAUUCCUUGGCCUUGUAAAAAUAAUGAGGACAGUAGGAAAGGGGGGCCCAAGAGAGGGGGGUUGAUGAGGGCAGGAAGGGAGGAGUUUCUUCCUCAGCACAAUGACUAUAAUCACUGGGAGGCUGAAAUUACUAGUCCUGUUGUUUGCUUGGCCUUCUGGAACUUUUGCAGUCGCUCCAUAUGAAUCAGUUUCUCUGUUCUCACCUACCACCUUAUCCUAGCUGAGGAAAGAGUACAGAAAAAGGAAGAGAAAAGUGGGCUCCUGGGCCUGGGGCCCUCUGGUUCUGGCGGUGUGAAAUGCCAGGUGAGUCAUCACUCCACACAGCCCAGCACAUGCGUGCUGAGGCAGGCUGGCCCUGGACUUCCAGACUCUGGAAACAUGCCACAGUACCUUUAUGAGUCCUCGGUUGUCCUCUGAAAGCCUUUUAAUGCACCAAGACAAGACAAGACGGAUAAGUGUGUUGAAGGUAGGAGGCUUCCAGACAAGAACUGCUCCAUUUUACUCCCUGACUCUCAAGACUUUGGGCUAGCAGGAAUUGCCCGGAAGAGGAGGAGCUAAACACGAGUCCUGGUACCUGAUGCUCUUUUUAAUGAGUACAAAGUAUAUUGUUCAUGGUGUGUGAAUUCAGGUCUGUUUUCUCUCCACUUCUUCCAACAUGGAUUGAGAAGAAGAGGAGGUUCAUCACCCACCUCUCAGUGUACUUGUUAGACAUCAAGCCAAAAUUCACUCUGGGAAUAAAAGAUAUGGAUUCUUUUAAGAUUUUUUUUUUUUUAACUUGAAAGCAGAGUUACAGAGAGAGGAGGAGAGAGAGAGAUCUUCCAUCUACUGGUUCACUCCCCAAACGGCCACAACAGCCAAGGCCGGGCAGGCCAAAGCCAGGAGCCAGGAGCUUCUUCCAGGUCUCCCACAUUGGUGCAGGGCCAUCUUCUACUGCUUUCCCAGGUGCCUUAGCAGGGAGCUAGAUUGGAACUGUAGCAGCCAGGUCUUGAACCGGCAUUGCAGUGGGAGGCUUUACCUGCUACACCAUAGUGCCAACCCCAGAGAAAUGUUUUUAAUACGGUGGGCUGGUUAGGUUUUUUUUAUCCCUUGAUUAUAGAAGGAUGCAUAUUCAGUAUAGAAAAGUUUGUUAAAUAUAGAAAAUCACAGAAUAAGAAAUGAACAUUACUUUUUCUCCCAAAUAUCACAUGGUUAGUAUCUAGCCAUCUCAUUAGGUGAUCCAGGAAGUCUCCAUCAAGCUCAUGGGAGAGAAGUCAAGUGCAAGCAAGACUUGCUGUCUCUGAAGCAGGUAAGUAUCCAGUGAGAUCCACCAGCAAGAAACCUGGAUUUGUCCUUCACUUGAGUCUCAAGUGAAAAAGAUGACAAAGGUGUAGAUUAUAACUAUAGGAAAAUCACCCACACCCAGAACCUGUUUCUUUUUUUUUUUUUUAAGAUUUUUUAUUUAUUUGAAAGACAGAGUUACAGAGAGAGGUAGAGACAGAGAGAGAGGUCUUCCAUCCGAUUGUUCACUCCCCAGAUGGCCACAAUGGCCGGGGCUGCGAAGCCAGGAACCAAGAGCCACUUCCAAGUCUCUCAUGUGGGUGUAGGGGCCCAAGGACUUGGGCCAUCUUCUACUGCUUUCCCAGGCCAUAGCAGAGACCUGGACCAGAAGAGGAGCAGCCAGGACUAGAACCAGCGCCCAUAUGGGAUGCUGGCACUUCAGGCCAGGGCUUUAACCCGCUGCACCACCGGAGCUGGCCCAGAACCUGUUUCUAAAAGAGUGUUUAAACAGGUUUCACUGGUGAUGACAUUAUUAAUCCAUUCCAGCUAAGAAACUAAUUUUGACACAUUUGUUAAUAGUCAUAUUUGAAAAGGAAUAGAAUGAGAAAAAAAUGGUCUAAUUUUUCUAAAUGCCAACUCAUUUGUAUAUGUGAUUUAAAAAUAUUUAUUAUUUAUUUGAAAGUCAGAGUUACACAGAAGGAGAGGGAGAGAGAGAGAAAGAGAGAGAGAGAGAGAGGUCUUCCACCCACUGGUUCACUUCCCAGUUGGCCGCAACUGCGCCAAUCUGAAGCCAGGAACCAGGAGCCUCCUCCAGGACUCCCAUGCAGGUGCAAGAGCCCAAGGACUUGGACCAUCUUCUACUGCUUUCCCAGGCCAUAGCAGAGAGCUGGAUCAGAAGUGGAGCAGCCGGGACUUGAACUGGCACCCAUAUGGGAUGCUGGCAUUGCAGGUGGCAGCUUUACCCACUAUGCCACAGUGUUGGCCCCUGUACGUGCGAUUUUGAAGGAAGGUCUCAAUGACCCAAAAUAUCAUUCCUGAAAUCCAUUACCUUUAAAAACUCAGCAUAGGGUGGACAUUUAGCCUAGUGGUUAAGAUGCCUGCAUCCUGUAUCAGAGUGCCUGGGUUCAAUGUCUGGCUCCAGCUCCUGACCCAGCUUCCUGCUAACACAGACUCUGGCCCAGCCCUAGCUGUUGUAUUUGGGAAGUGAAUCAAUGGAUGGGAGCUUACUCUCUCUAAUUCUGUCUCUCUGACUCUCAAAAAAAAAAAAAAGUUUUUCAGUACAAUUCAGCCAACAUUUGUUGCCUGUUAAGCACUGGGUCCUGUGCUAAACCCAAGGUAGGGGCCAGCACUGUGACACAGUGGAUAAAGCUACCACCUGCAGUGCUGGUAUCCCAUAUGGGAGCUGGUUCGAUUCUCAACUGCUCCACUUCCGAUCCAGCUCUCUGCUACGGCCUGGGGAAGCAGUAGAAGAUGGCCCAAAUCCUUGGGCCCCUGCACCCAUUUGGGAGACCCAGAAGAAGCUCCUGGCUCCUGGCUUUGGAUUGGCACAGCUCUAGCCAUUGUGGCCAUCUGGGGAGUAAACCAGCAGAUGGAAGACCUCUCUGUCUAUCUCUUUCUUUCUCUGUCUCUCUUUCUCUCUGCCUCUGUAACUCUGCCUUUCAAAUAAAUAAAUCUUAAAAAAAAAAUAAACCCCAAGGUAAAAGUGCUAGGCCUAAUGUCAAGAUGAAUCAGGCAUAGUACCUACCCCCAAGAUGAGCAGUCUAGUAAGGACAGCACAAAUCGAAAUCCAUUAUGAAAGUGCAACAAACUAAGUAUGCACAAAAUACAAUGAUGUAAAGAGGAAGAACAGUUGAAGGGUGUUGGGAUGAGGGCCUUUAAAAUCUGGGAGAUUUUGCUAAGAGAAAGGCAGAAACUUAGCUUGGAGGUUCGUUCACAUCAUGCUUAGAUAAGCAGAGAAAAUAUAAUUUGUUUUGUCUAAAUCUAAUCUGGCCUACUUUCUGAGCCCUCACUCACUGAACAGACCUACUUCAAAGGAAAACUUGGUCUAAACCGAUUAUUGAAACAGUUCCUUCAGGUCAUGUGCAAUCUCUUGGAUAACAAUGCUGGGUCUUUGAGCUAACUCUUCUCCCUCCUACUUCUCCCCGUAACAGGGUUUGAUGUAUUGGGCAGAAGAGCUUCUGCCACUUGACUGGUUAAAGGUGCAUGCAGGCAGGCGCCGCGGCUCAAUAGGCUAAUCCUCCGCCUGUGGCGCUGGCACCCUGGGUUCUAGUCCCGGUCGGGGAGCUGGAUUCUGUCCCGGUUGCUCCUCUUCCAGGCCAGCUCUCCGCUGUGGCCAGGGAGUGCAGUGGAGGAUGGCCCAAGUCCUUGGGCCCUGCACCCGCAUGGGAGACCAGGAGAAGCACCUUCAGAUCAGCACGGUGCGCCGGCCGCAGCACGCCAGCCGCAGCGGCCACUGGGGGGUGAACCAACGGAAAAAAGGAAGAUCUUUCUCUCUCUCUCACUGUCCACUCUGCCUGUCAAAAAAAAAAAAAAAAAAAAAAGUGCAUGCAGUCUUUGGAUCCACGCAGUGACAUUUGCUCUCUAUUUUCUGGCCUCUAAACAAUGUUCUUUGCUCUCUUGGUCUCUGGAUAGCCAGCUGGCCUUCAGAGCUGAAGUUUUGAGUUGCUAGAAUGUGGGAUCUGUUCUUUUGGCAUUACUCCCUGUCUAAAUUGGCCUCCUUUGACUCUGAUGCUAAGUGAGACAUCUCUAAAUUUGGUUCUGAUAGCAGCCUUUCCUGCAGCCCUCACCUCAGAGCCACUUGCUUCCUACCCCUGCUACCACCCCAAGUCUAGACUGGGCUUGGGAAAGUUUAACUUCUGCUCUUCCCAGGGCCUGACCCCACAGCUGAACCAAUGUGGUAUGUUUGUUCCCUAGGUUAGUUCAGGGUGGUUUUUGGGGCAGCAUCUUUCUGAGCACCAGAUGAGAAGAGAAUAUAGCCCUCAACCUAAUUUUACUUAUCUAACAUGGCUUCUACUUUAGGACAAAGCCCAGACUAACAAAAACAUGGACACAUAUAUGAUAGUUCGACUCUCCUCAUUCUGAGUUUCCUUGCCUCCGUCCUACCCAUCUUCCAGUCUGAAAAGUAAGACCUUUCUCACAUAUGCUCUUCCAACUUCAAUCUCAUGACUGAAUUUUAAAUUUUUAUGUAUUUAUUUAGAAAGGUAGAGAAACAAAUUGAGAGAGAUCUUGCAUCUGCUGAUUCACUCCCCAAAUCUCCAAAUGCCUACAACAGCGAGAGCUGGGCCAGGAUGAAGCCAGGAGUCAGGAACUUCAUCCAGGUCUCCCUUCUAAGAAGAUUGAGCCCUAAUGAGUGAGAGGCUUUGAGAAGAAAGCAGAAUGAGGGCACUGGCCCUGAGAAGGGGGAGCGGAAAACAGAUUCCAGAAGGUAGAAAAGAAUCCCCAAAAACUGAAUAGGGAGACUAUCAGACAAAAUGACUUCCUCGUUUUCCCCAGGACGGAUCCUUCCCUAAUCAGAAGUCAUCACCUCAAGAGUACAUUGUGGGGGCCGGGGCUGUGGCACAGCCGGCAUCUCAUAUGGGUGCCAGUUCAAGUCCCAGCUGCUCCACUUCCAAUCCAGCUCUCUGCUAUGGCCUGGGAAAGUAGUAGAAGGUGGCCCAAGUCCUUGAGUCCCUGCACACAUGUGGACCCGGAAGAAGUUCCUGGCUCCUGGCUUCAGAUCAGCUCAGCUCAGCUCUAGCCGUUGUGGUCACCAGCAGAUGGAAGACCUCUCUCUCUCUCUCUCUCUGGCUCUACCUCUCUGUAACUCUCUGUCUUUCAAAUAAAUAAAAAUAAAUCUGAGAGAGAGAGAAAGAGGGAGAGAGAGAGAGAGAGAGAGAACAUUGUGAACCUGUCCUCAGGUUGCCACAUCACCAGGGGGAUGACUGACUGUUCAAGAAGUCAGGUCUUUGGACUCACUCUGCAAACUGUAAAAUGAAGUUGUAAAUGUCGUUAAUAUUUCCCUCUGUUCCUCAGAAAAAUAUAAAAAUCCAAGUGGAGGGACAAGACCUAGCCACAAGCAAAGACCAGGAUAUGAACAGGCUGAAGCACAGUGACUGGCUGGGGACUAUGCUUUCUAUUUAAGGUACACAGCUUAUCUGAAAGAAAACAAAAAGAGGGGCUGGCUGGGACCUGUGACGAGGGGUGGUGUCUUGUUGAAGGGAAAUAAUCCACCGAGCCUCUGUGACCUUUGUCAUUUUUUCCCUCCACAUAUUCAUGUAUGACAAUGACUCAGCUCUACCACCGGUGGCUUAUUUUUAGGAAGGGUAACCGAGCCAGUUGAAAACCUAAGCAUAGUAACCAUUGCCAAUCAGCAGCCUCCCAGAUCCAAAGUAGGAAAGAAAUACUCAUUUCUUUAUUUCAGCAUAAUCUGUGUGACUCAAGGUGGGUACCAGAGAGCUAUCUCUUUCAAGAUAAUUUGCUCUUCCUUCUCCCACAGAGCUGGAAACUCCCAGGGGAGAGUGACUCCCAAAACAUGAAAGUUCCCCUUAGUCAGUGCUGAGUGGAACCCAGUUUCUUCAUUUUCCAAAUAUGGAAUCACCCCAGCCAUGUGUAAGCUCACGGCUGUGCUGGAACUAGUAUCCUGGGCCACUCAGCUCUGUGCCCCAUUCCACUUCCCGUUUCAGAUUCCUUAGGCAAAAGCCAAAUAAUGUAAGUUUUUCAUGAGAUCAUCAGUCUAGAAGAAGAGGGCAUUUCCUGGGCUGAUUUCCUAUUCUAAUGCAGUGUAAAUGCUGCAUCUAAGGGAAAAACAUUAUACUGUUUAUUAUCAUAUUAGCAGAAAUCAAGACCCAGAGGGUUAUGCACUCUACUGCUUUGUAAAACUGUUAAAAUUCAAAACCUUAGCCAAACAUGAAGCAAUGAACAAGAAUGACUGAGAAGGUACAAGUUGUCUGAGAUUUGCUGCUGGGGUCUGAACUGUGCUCCUACCACUUUGCUGUGAAGGCCUGGGCAAGGUAUUCUCUGUACUGAACUUUCCUUAUCUGUAAAAUGUGGCUGACAAUAAGAGAACUUAUAGGGCUGUUGUGAAGGUUAAAUGAGAUAAUGCACAUAAAGCAUACAGAAUAGUGCCUAGUACACAAUUGCUCAAUAAAUGUAAACUAAGACUAUCAGUUAGUUUUAGGGUUAGGUGCUUGGAACAAUGGUUAAGGUGCCGCCUCUGACACCUGCAACCCAUAUCAGAGUCUCUGGGUUUGAGUCCUGGCACUGUUUUCAAUUCCAGCUUCCUGCUAAUGCACACCCUGAGAGGCAGCAGUGAUGAUUCUCAUAGUUGAGUCCCUGCUAAACUUAGGCGAGACCUAGAUUAAGCUCCCAGCUCCUUGCUUUGGCCUGGCCCAGCCACAAUUGUUGCAAGCAUUUAGGGAGCGAACAAGCAGAUGUGAGAUUUCUUUUUGCCUUUCAAAAUCAAUCAAUCAAUCAAUCAAUCAUUCUUUUUUUAAAAGAUUUAUUUAUUUAUUUGAUAUGUAUUUGAAAGUCAGAGUUACACAGAGAGAGGAGAGGGAGAGAGACAGAGAGAGAGAGGUCCUCCAUCUGAUGGUUCACUUCCCAACUGGCUGCAACGGCCGGAGCUGCGCCGAUCAGAAGCCAGGAGCCAGGAGCUUCUUCUGGGUCUCCCAUGUUGGUACAGGAGCCCAAACACUUGGGCCAUCUUCUACUGCUUUCCCAGGCCAUAGCAGAGAGCUGGAUCGGAAGUGGAGCAGCCAGGUCUUGAACCGGCACCCAUAUGGGAUGCCGGCGCUUCAGGCCAGGGUGUUAACCCGCUGCACCACAGCGCCAGCCCCAAUCAAUUAACUUUGAAAAGACUUAGUUUAGAAUUAUCACCAAGGAGCCAGGCUCAGCUCUCCUUCCCAUAGGCAUUUCUUUUUACUGCAUGUCACUGUUUCAAAAAUCAUACCCAGCAUAUUUGUAGUAUGGUCUCCAGUUUCUUGGACAGAUACCAAAUUUUUUUUUUCUUAAGGCUUAUGCAGGAUGAUUUUGUCCCUUGAAAACUACUGAGAUCAGUUCAUUCUGAGUAAAGUGGCCCAGUUAGAGAAGCGACUUGAAGACUUGACCUGAGGAGUUUGAAGUAACUGGACAUGAUCACCCUGUUGAGAAAACCCUCGAAUAUUAGUAUAUUAGUGAGCGGACUUCAAAUACCCACCAUGUUGAAGGAGGACUAGCAGGCAGAUCAUUACCAACCUAGGAAGAGGGCAUUUUUUCUCAAUAUAACUUUUUUUCCAGUCAGUUGGUGCUGUCCAAAAAUGGUAAGGUUAAGUCAAGCCAGUGCCGUGGCUCACUUGGCUAAUCCUCCGCCUGUGGUGCUGGCACCCCGGGUUCUAGUCCUGGUUGGGGUGCCGAGUACUAGUCCCAGUUGCUCCUCUUCCAGUCCAGCUCUCUGCUGUGGCCCGGGAGGGCAGUGGAGGAUGGCCCA